rnacentral:sRNA from 2 species
AACGUUGCGUCAGCAACGGCCCGCAUGGCAAGGCGAAGCCGAGUUAUCCUGCACGACCCACCA